UGUAAACACAGCUUCAAUUAGUAGUUAUAGACAAUGAGAUGUAUUUGGUUACUGAUUAGGUUAAAUUGCGUAUAGUGUUGGAUUGAGUUUGUAUAUGUAGGGUACACGACUGUGCCUGCAGAAAAUGAGUCAUCGUCUGGAGGAGUAUCAAACUCAGUAAUAAUUGCUGUUACACUAAGUGUCAUCGUUCUCAUGCUAAUAAUUGUACUUUUCAUUUUUCUGAGGAAGAAUUACAGGUGCACAAGAAAUGAGUUAAAAUCUUUGGUGCCUAUGAAAUAUGAUAGUGUCAUUGCCAAUUCUAACGCAACAUGUGGAACAAGUGAAUGUUUGGAGAAAAGCAAUGAGAUACAAUGACAAUUAAUAGCUCAUAUGCUACUACAGGUGCAGGCAGCAGUGCUGAAUCAUGUGGAUAUCUAGAGGUUAGAGCUGUUGCAGCUCAGCAAGACAGGAAGAAUGAGGAACUGUUGUAUGAUAGUAUGGAUGGUGAAUCGGCACUUUGAUCUCAAUGUAAUAAAGGAGAGAACUUUCUGAUAAUGAUUUGUUGCUUUUUUAUAUGUUUAAAAUGCAUUUCUUAGUGCUUGCCAUGCAUGUGUGUUUAGCAUGGCAGAAUUAAACAUUUACAAUUUCUAAGCUGGGCAUUGUUGUCUAGUGAUAUUUGAUACGUUUGCUGCUACUGACUUUAGAGAACUUGUUCAUUUGCCUGUUGGCAUGAUUGAGUUGGAGUUGACUCAAAUGUUCAGUUUACUUUGUCCAACUUGUUGAUUGGAUAUUGAUGGUUGUUUAUCAUUUAAUUUAUUUGAA